GACAUAUUUAAUUUUUUUUCCUCUUUUUUUUCUUGGAUGGGUGGGGGGAGCUUGGCGCUGUCUUAAUCUGUAUUCUCUUGACUGAACAAUAAAUUUUUAAAUAUAGUUUCCUCUAUUAAACACUUAAACCUGGCCAUCUUAUUAACUCCUCUUUUUAACAAGGUAAUGUUUUAAGUGUAUAGUUUUAGGACUAGCGAAAUGGCAGCAACAAAAAAAAUGUGUGCGCAGUCGUUACUCUUUUUUUUUUAAUUUCUAAAAACCUUUUACAUUGUAAGUACCCAAUCCAUUCUGUCCUUACGCAGUGCAGUUCUCUUGUUAAUGUUGGCUGAGCUGUCCUUAAUUUUCCGAACCUUCAUCUGCAUGUCUGUCUUUGUCUCUCUUGUCUAAUCCAGUGAAAAUGCUUUUUUAGACGAUUUUGCUUUUAUAAAGCUUAAGGUUUUAGCUUCAAGCUUUUGAAAAUGUUUACAGCAAUAAGUGCUAGUCAGUCUUCCCAGUAACGUUUACACUCUUUGAAAAUCGAUCUAUUUGAAGAAAAACAGCUCUGUUUUUCUCGUGUUGGCGGUGGUGGAGGGGGGAUGGUUAAAGAAAGGAAGACCUUCUCUUUGUGUAGAAAGACGAAAGCCGUCACAGGAAACUAGAUUAAAACUGGAAAACAAGUCCUAGCUGGUUCAAGCCAAACACCAACGUUAACUCGGUCGUAUUUUCUAUGGUGGUUGGGAUGACUGGUGCGCCUCUUGCCUUUUGUUUGAUUUGACUGUGUUUUCGCCUUUUGUCUCUUAAUGACGGUCACACCAUUGCUAUAUCCAGAGCAGUAAACAGUCCUCAGCGAAGCCGCCUUUUUGCCACCCCAACUCUGGAAAGGUUGCAGACGUGGAAGGAGCAGAAAAAUGCCAUAAGAGUGUAACUUACUAAAAGGUUUUUGGCUGGACAAGGGGCAACAACCGGUUACCCGCCGGGCGGACAACCCUUCCUUCCCUUGGACAACAGGAGCAGGCCUAGUUUGACAACCCUCCCGUCAAAGCAGGCGCAUGUGGCCUGGUUUCGAGAGUCGGACAAGUCAGCCUGUGAAACCAGUUGUGACCUUGCUUGAACUGCCCGGUCUCCUGAGCUCUGGCUUCCCCAUCUACAAAAUGGAGCUGGAGCGGCUAUUCCGACCCGAGCCGGCAUCAGAAUCUGCCUCUUUACAAACGGUCCCUGCCGCCGAGUUCUGGAUUCAGCAGGAAAUUCUCCCCAGGCUGCUUGCCAGUUGGACAGCCUCCAUCCCUGUUCCUGAGCUUCAGGUCCUCGGUGCAGAGCCCGAGGCUAGCUGCGAAGGUAUGUGGCUCUCACCUCACCCCAGCCCACGUCUAGUGGCCCUUCAGCCGCCCCGGUCCCAGGCGGUUCGUGUCUCCCCAUCUCCAUCAGACUGCUGCCCCUAAGACUGACAGCUCUGGGCAGGAAG